AAUUAUUAAAGAAUUUCGGUUGUCGAUGGGGAUGCGUUCCAUUAGGCAGUUGGCGGGGUAACGGCCCACCAAACCUACGAUGGAUAGGGGUUCUGAGAGGAAGGUCCCCCACAUUGGAACUGAGACACGGUCCAAACUCCUACGGGAGGCAGCAGUGAGGAAUAUUGGUCAAUGGACGAGAGUCUGAACCAGCCAAGUAGCGUGAAGGAUGACUGCCCUAUGGGUUGUAAACUUCUUUUAUACGGGAAUAAAGUGAGCCACGUGUGGCUUUUUGUAUGUACCGUAUGAAUAAGGAUCGGCUAACUCCGUGCCAGCAGCCGCGGUAAUACGGAGGAUCCGAGCGUUAUCCGGAUUUAUUGGG
rnacentral:rRNA from 1 species